rnacentral:rRNA from 1 species
AUUGAACGCUGGCGGCAGGCCUAACACAUGCAAGUCGAGCGGAGCGGCGGACGGGUGAGUAAUGCCUAGGAAUCUGCCUGGUAGUGGGGGAUAACGUCCGGAAACGGGCGCUAAUACCGCAUACUAUCAGAUGAGCCUAGGUCGGAUUAGCUAGUUGGUGGGGUAAAGGCCUACCAAGGCGACGAUCCGUAACUGGUCUGAGAGGGUGAGCAGUCACACGGGAACGGGGACACGGUCCAGACUCCGACGGAGGGAAGCAGUGGGGAAUAUUGAAAAAGGGGCGAAAGCCUGAUCCAGCCAUGCCGGGUGUGGGAAGAAGGUCUUCGGAUUGUAAAGCACUUCAAGUUGGGAGGCGUUACCAACAGAAUAAGCACCGGCUAACUUCGUGCCAGCAGCCGCGGUAACA